rnacentral:misc_RNA from 1 species
GCUUAUAGUCCAUAGUGGGGAGAGGCGGCGACACCGGGCAGUGAGAGAGAUUACCGACGCGCUCACCACCCGCCACGCCACCCUAAUUUUCCCCCCAGGAGCCACCCUACUUACAAGGCUGUUUGAGGAGGGCCGCGCGCCACCGCCGAACAUGAGUUACGGCCGGGGACCCCCAGACAUCAAGGGGAUGACGUCCCUGAAGGUGGACAAUCUGACCUACAGGACCACGCCGGAGGACCUGCGUCGCUCCUUCGAGAAGUAUGGCGAGAUCGGCGACGUCUACAUCCCCAGGGACAGGUUCUCCCGCGAGAGCCGCGGCUUCGCCUUCGUCAGGUACUAUGAUCGGCGAGAUGCUGAAGAUGCCAUGGAAGCCAUGGAUGGCCGGCGGCUAGAUGGACGAGAGCUGAGAGUACAGAUGGCACGGUAUGGACGGCCAGAGACCCCGCCACACCGAAGACGUCGCCGACGGGACAAUUCCAGGUCGCGGUCCAGGUCUCGUUCUCGGUCGCGAUCUCGCAGGAGGAGGAGGUCAUCGCGGUCCAGGUCCAGAUCUCGCUCUCGUUCCCGUAGGCGCCACUCUAGGUCAAGGUCUGGAAGUCGGUCCCGCUCACGAUCACAUUCAAGGUCACGCUCUGGAAGCAAGAGUCGCUCCCGCACACCCGACGAACGUCAAUCAAAAUCUCCGGAGAAGCAGGACAAGGAAAACGGAAUGGAUGAGGCAGCGGCAAUUGAAGAGGAACAGCAAAUGGACCGCUCUCACUCGCGUUCAAAGUCCCGCUCACGAUCUCGUUCAAGGUCAAAGUCGAGAUCCAGGUCGAAGUCGCGCAGCAAGUCCAGGUCCAGGUCACGCUCAAGGUCCAUGGAAUGAGGACCUGUUGGGCAAAGCUGUGGCCAGGGUGGUCUAGCUGCUCACUGGAAACGAUGAUUCCUGUCAAUUCCUGUCCAGAUUUUUGCAGUACUGGCAUGCUGGGCAGGGCGUGGCAGUUGUUGCUGUUGUGUUGCUGUGGAGUAUGGCGGGUUGCUGUAGUGCGGUGUUAUGGCGGGAGCCGAGGCAGAGAGCCAGUCAGGCAUGCAGCCGACGGGGGGGGCCGCAAGGCGCAGUACUGGCUCGCAGGGCACCAGACCACUCCUCCUCCUAUUCCUUCUCCUCCUUCCCCUAUUCUCCUACUUAUCCCAACACACAUCUCGCCACCCUUGUGCUCCAUUUCCCACCGCUUGCCACCGUCCCAUCCUCAGCUUCCUCUUGCCUCGGUCACAUGCACCAUUACCUUACAGUAUUCCAAUUCCGUGUUGCCUUGGUCCCAUUGCUAACGUCCUCUUCACCUUGGCCUAUAUCUCCACGGGGAGUAUUAACAAAAAACACUCACAAUCCAGUUAAACAAAUUAGGGCUGUCCUUUUAAAGCCACCUUUGAUGAUGAUAAUUUUUGGUUAUAAGAUUAUUGGACAAGUUGGCAAGGCGUGUAGUAACUAAUAUUAUCCUUUUUUCCUGGUGACUCGUGUACACUGUGGUGCCCUGUGAUGCUAAGGAGGCGACUGGCAGCUGCGUGCGGUCACCAGACAACGGUGACUUGCUGCAGCUGUGGCGACCCUUGCAACGCUGAGGGUGGAGGGUGGGAGGGAGGACGGGCGGGUGGGUGGAGUGGGGCGGGCAGCAGAUGUAUGGCUACGUGCAGGCUCCCACAGUAUUCCAACACUGCAGACUUACUCUGCUGUAGCUUGGUCAGUUAGACCCCCCCUGAUCUUGCCCCUCCCACUUUUUAUUUGUUUUUUUCAUUUUACAGCUGUCCAUUGAAGUCCCUUAGGUUUUUAUCCAUUAACCAGAGCUUUGUUUGUGCGCUUGUGUAGUACAUUAAUAUCUGGCACUAGCAAUUAUGCACACCAUUUUAGGGAUCUAUUUUUAUGGUAGUUUAUCUAAUUUUGUAAGAUUACUUUGACUAGGUCAGUAUUGGUGUAUUAGGUUGGUGUAGCCAAAGCUCACGGAGCAGAGGUUGGUGUACAGGAGCAAUGGACACUUUAGCAAAUACAAACUUGGCAAAUUGGGUUACAUGAAAUAUAUGCCUGCAAAAUUGAAUUGGAUGCACAAUAUACAAAAGCUUAAGGUAAAGAGUCAUAUCUAGCCACACUAAGGGUAUUAGAAAAUAAAAGCCUGGACGAUUGUAUAUAUUUAUACUUAUAUAUGUAUAUAUAUAUAUAUGUAUAUAUAAAUAUAGAAUAUAUAUGAAUAAUAUGGGGGAUAGGGGAGGAUUUUGGGCUUAAUGAAUUGUUUAUUUUACAGAACAACGUCGAUGUGCUCUUGUUUGGUCGUGACUUUCAGGUACUUACUUUCCUUGUUGGGAUGAUCUUGUGUUUGGUAGUAGUGACAAAUUAAGACGUUGCAUAUGGCUCGUGUAAUCUGUAGAACGUCCUUUUGAAUCCUGUUGGCAAGUGACUGGCAUCUUAGAUUGGUAAUCAAUUUUGACGUUUACUGUGUUUUUAUUCAAUUUGUGUGAGGUGAAUGUGUUCAGGGAUGGGAUCAGACCCACAUCUCUGGACUACCCAAAAGCACAUGCACCAGAUUUGAGAUUGGCUCAGUAAGCUGCAAGGUAUUUUGAUACUAAAGUUAUAUGGGAUCUUGCAAUAUGUGGUUGGAUGGACGAAAAGUGGUUUGUACUGUUGCUUGUUGAGGUGGUUGUCUAAUAAACUUGGACAACUGGUCAGGGUUUUCCGGAGCAAGUCGUAUGAAUUGGGAGACUGUGUGGGGUGUGGAGGAAGUAGUGGAAGUUUCUCUGAUGGUUGGUUGGAUGCACCAGGUAAAUGCAUUUAUGAAGUAGUGGCAUGUUUAUAUAGCAUUGUUCUUGCUGCUUGGGUCGACAAUGUCAACACUCGGCCCUCCUCUGCCUACUUUGUGUUUCUAAUGUACAGUAUUUCCUCCAUUUUUUAAUACAUUAAUCAAUUUUUCUCAUCGUAUUCAUCUCUGGUUUUUCAGUGUAUAAUUGUUGAACCACAGGUACAUAGACGUGUAUGGGAGACCAGUGUAGUGGAGUAUUUGGACACUGGUGUUGCUUCCAUAUGACUGAUGAGUGUAUAGGAUUGUGUUGGGAAUUCUGUACUGGAACCAAAGAGGGUAAAUUCAGAUUUGUAUGUUUUAUAUUAUUUUUAUACUUGGUUAUAACAAAAUUGACAUUGAGUUGGCAUUUUCUGAUGGAUAGCUUCAUGGAAGCUUUUGAAUUGGCCAGCGCCCUCUUAAAUUCUCCUUGACAUUUUAAUUUCAGACGACUUGUUAUUGAAAGUAAUUACUUUAUUAGAUUUAUGUUUAUUGGUUUGAGCAAGAGUUCAGGUUAUGUAUGUACCAUGUAAAAUUGUAUUGUAAAGGUAAAUGAUUUGAAAAACGAAUAAUUUAUUUUUUAGCAGCAUUUGAGUCAAGUUUUAUAUAUUUUGAUAAUUACUUGGUAAAUUCACACAUACAAAGUUUGUGACUUGCUUUUUGAGAGCGUAGCCAAGUGCAGUAUUUGUAUCGGGGUGUGUGUGUGUGUCCCAGGAUGGAAGCAGGCGCGUGGUGUGGGAGUAUCAUAGGACCAUCAUGAAUAACAUUAUGCAUGCACAGCAAAACAAGAACCUGAUGGAGUUUGGUUGACUUAGCCACGAAGGAGGAAAUCUCAAGACCGUGAUGUUCCUAUGAUAAAAAUACCGAGGUGAUACGAUGGGAAAUCCAGUGGAGCGAUGGUUCGAUCCCAUCGUAUGACCUUAAUAUUUGUCUCAAGAUGGCUAUUGUAAGUAUGGAACUAUUUCAUGCACCUGGGCACUAGGAGGCUCGAGCCGUGGACACCACGCGAGAGAGGCCGAAGCUCUAUCGACUGGGCUAUUGGGGUCGGUGGUUCGAGACUCGUAUAGCCCAGGUGAGUGAAAUGUUUAUUCCCCACGGAAGUGUGGAUGAUAAUUUAUAUGGGACUGUUAUUCACAGUGUCUGUGCGCCUGCAGUCAGGGAUGCUUCUUGGUUCAGCUCAUUGCUCCUCUUCACUAGUGUUUACCUGUUCACUUAUCUUUUGUCUUGGUUAUACUGGCUCUUUGAGGAGGAGGACCACCCAACCUUUUUUUUUUUAUAUAAAUAUAUAUAUUAGGUAAGUAUUAAAAAGCAUUGCAAAAUAAAAUAUUUAAAGUUUA